AGUCGAACGAGAAAGUACUUCGGUAUGAGUAAGUGGCGCACGGGUGAGUAACACGUAGGUGACCUACCUUAUAGUUGGGGAUAACACCGGGAAACCGGUGCUAAUACCGAAUGUGUCGUGUGACAUUAGAAAAGCACAACAAAGAAUGCCUCUACUUGUAAGCAUUCGCUAUGAGAUGGGCCUGCGCGGCAUUAGCUAGUUGGUGGGGUAAAGGCCUACCAAGGCAACGAUGCCUAACUUGUCUUGAAAAGGAUGAUCAGCCACACUGGAUCUGAGACACGGUCCAGACUCCUACGGGAGGCAGCAGUAGGGAAUAUUGCGCAAUGGGGGAAACCCUGACGCAGCAACGCCACGUGAGUGAGGAAGGCCUUCGGGUUGUAAAGCUCUGUCCUAAGGGAAAAAUGGCAGAUGAUCUAAUAGGUCAUUUGAUUGAUGGUACCUUAGAAGAAAGCACCGGCUAACUUCGUGCCAGCAGCCGCGGUAAUACGAAGGGUGCAAGCGUUGUUCGGAUUUAUUGGGCGUAAAGCGCGCGCAGGCGGAAGAACCAAUUCAAAAUGUGAAAUCUCGGGGCUUAACCCCGAACGUGCGUCUGAAACUACUUUUCUAGAGUAAUGGAGGGGGAAGGGGAAUUUCACAUGUAGGGGUAAAAUCCGUAGAGAUGUGAAGGAACACCAGAGGCGAAGGCGCCUUCCUGGCCAUUUACUGACGCUGAGGCGCGAAAGCGUGGGGAUCAAACAGGAUUAGAUACCUGGUAGUCCACGCCGUAAACGAUGAGAACUGGUUUUUGGGGGUAUUGACUCCCUCAGAAACGAAGCUAACGCGUUAAGUUCUCCGCCUGGGAAGUACGGUCGCAAGACUAAACUCAAAGAAAUUGACGGGGGCCCGCACAAGCGGUGGAUUAUGUGGUUUAAUUCGAAGCAACCCGCAGAACCUUACCUAGGCUUGAAAUCCUACGAAUUCGACGUAAUGGUUGAAGUGCCCUUCGGGGAACGUAGAGACAGGUGCUGCAUGGCUGUCGUCAGCUCGUGUUGUGAAAUGUUGGGUUAAGUCUCGCAACGAGCGCAACCCCUAUCUUUAGUUGCCAGCAUUAAGUUGGGCACUCUAGAGGGACUGCCUGGGUUAACCAGGAGGAAGGUGGGGAUGACGUCAAGUCCUCAUGGCCCUUAUGUCUAGGGCUACACACGUAAUACAAUGGUACGAACAAAGGGAAGCGAACUCGCGAGGGGGAGCAAAUCUCAAAAAACGUAUCUCAGUCCGGAUUGAAGUCUGCAACUCGACUUCAUGAAGUUGGAAUCGCUAGUAAUCGCGGAUCAGAACGCCGCGGUGAAUACGUUCCCGGGCCUUGUACACACCGCCCGUCACACCAUGGAAGUUGGUUCAAUCUAAGACGUGACUCUAACCGCAAGGAGG
rnacentral:rRNA from 1 species